AUACAAGAGCUUUCCUCUAUUAGCCAAUCUCAGGACCGGCAGAUGCUGUGUUGCAUGUAUGUGAAUGCACUUUUUCUCUUACUGCACUUAUGUGUUAAUGUGGCAGUCUGUCCACGACACACUUCUCUCAGGACAAAUAAAGUCAUCUUGGUGUUCCUUCAUACCGUGUAGCAGAGAAACGCUAACAUGUGGCUGCACAGUGUGUUGUUUAUUAGAAAGCAUCAGGACUGAGUCACACAUGAGAGACUGCAAUGUGAACGCUGACCAAAAGAUGUCACAUGCUGUUUCAGGUCGAUCUAUCUACAGGUCUGGCAAUUGAAGAGGCAUGCUAUGCCCAGGUGAUACCAACUAAAGACCGACUGGAGGGUUUGGCUGCAUUCAAGGAGAAGAGGCGUCCUCACUAUAAAGGGGAGUGAGGCCACACACUCUGCUUUCACUCUCCUACUGUUCACUGCUUCUAACAUAUUUAUGGGUGACACUGUACCCGUCAACACAUUAACCUGUACAGUACCCAGAGGAUGUCUGUCUGAGUGCGGGACAUUAGGGUCGAUCCUGACUCGUGUUUUUGCCACUGAUUUAAAUGUCAGAGUAAAGCACUUGCUAGGUGUCAACUACCCCUUAAGGAUUCUGAGAAACCAAGCAAACUAACCAAGCACUGACCCAGCUUACAACUCUUAAAGCUUCUGCAAUCUAAACAUGAAUGACUUGGUUGGUUGUUGGCCGUUUAGUAAUUAACAGUAGCCUUCUUGGCUAGUCAACCAGUCAGAGAGCCAUUGACAUUUCCAUAAUCAGUGAAUGGUUUAUUUGCUCUUUGUCUUUUAUUUUGGUAGAAAUGUACCACUGUGUUCACAACACUAACAGCUGUAUGCCCCAGAGGAGCCUGCAUAAAGUCCUAAGACACUAGAUUUUCCCUCAGUUGAGUAAUGUCCAGAGAGGUAGGAUUUGACAGUUUCUGACUUUUGUGCCUCUGAAAAAGUCGUAUCAACAAUCAAUAGACGUUUCAUUUUUCUGUAGAUCAACAUCAGAAUCAUUUUAAUAUGCUAUGAUGACAGAAGAACAUUCUACAUAUACUAAGGAUCAUUCAGCAUCCCCCCCCCCCCCAGAGGCUUACCCGGCCUCAAAAAGAACCAGGUUCAGGUCUGAGCAAAGCUGUAUGUAAACGGUGGUAACUUCAGUCAGUCACUCCAAAGCUGCUGUUCAUCUACAGUGACUCCAGUCUGAACUGAAAUUUGGUUCAAAUCCAAAAAAUUCAAAACUCAAUCUUGACUUACAUUUCUUUAUUAUUUUUUUUAAGCCCAGACAAGCUCCCAGUAGUUUGGACACACAGUCUCAUUCAAUAGUUUUUCCUUUAUUUUCUUCACUGUAAAGUAACAUGGAAGUAAUCCAAACUAUGAAAUAACACAUGGAAUUAUGUGGUAAACAUAAAACGUGUAAAGAAAGUCAAAUCUGUUUUAUAUUUUAGAUUAUUUUAUAUCUUUGAUGACAGCUCCGCACUCUCUUCAUUCUCAGUCAGCUUCAUGAGGUCGUCACCUGGAACACAAUAUAUGCUGAGCACUUGUUGAAAAUCAAAAGAAUCUAAAAUAUAAAACUUUAAUAAUUUUCAGUUUACACAUUUCAUGUUAUUUCAUAGAUUUGAUGUCUUCUAAUGUCAGUGUUCAAAGUAAGAAAGAAAAAACAUAGAAGAAGGUGUGUCCAUACCUUUGACACGUACUGUGUUUAUUUACUUGAUGGUUUGUCUUUUCCAGCCCUGCUCAGAUUUCAGGUGUUCUAACGUCGUAGUCCUCACAGACACCUCGACACGAACACAAACAGCCAUCAGUCACAAAGCACUUGAGUUAAUUUCCUCCAAGUUGCCUUUUCUUCUGUACUUUACAGUAUGUGUUUCAGUCUUCAUUGAUUUAGGCAGCAGGAUGUUUUUGUAAACCUCUAUCAAGCCUCAAAUUGCUUUUCUGAACUAGUCACUAAAGGAAUGAGCCACCGUGGAGAUGAUGAUAUUUUAGUAAGUGAAGUGAGCCUGUGAGCCACCUUCAGAAUGGAACAGGAGGCCAGAUCACACACUUAUAAAUAAAACUUCUGUCACAGAAA